rnacentral:rRNA from 1 species
AUUGAACGCUGGUGGCAGGCCUAACACAUGCAAGUCGAACGAGUGGCGGACGGGUGAGUAAUGUCUGGGAAACUGCCCGAUGGAGGGGGGUAACUACUGGAAACGGUAGCUAAUACCGCAUACCAUCGGAUGUGCCCAGAUGGGAUUAGCUAGUAGGUGGGGUAACGGCUCACCUAGGCGACUAUACCUAGCUGGUCUGAGAGGAUGACCAGCCAAACUGGAACUGAGACACGGUCCAGACGCCUACGGGAGGCAGCAGUGGGGAAUAUUGCACAAUGGGCGCAAGCCUGAUGCAGCCAUGCCGCGUGUAUGAAGAAGGCCUUCGGGUUGUAAAGUACUUUCAGCGAGGAGGCGUUACUCGCAGAAGAAGCACCGGCUAACUCCGUGCCAGCCGCCGCGGUAAUUC